UACGUAGGCAGCAAGCGUUGUUCGGAGUUACUGGGCGUAAAGGGUGUGUAGGCGGUUGUUUAAGUUUUGUGUGAAAUCUCCCGGCUCAACUGGGAGGGUGCGCCGAAUACUGAAUGACUAGAGUGUGGGAGAGGUGAGUGGAAUUCCUGGUGUAGCGGUGAAAUGCGUAGAUAUCAGGAGGAACACCGGUGGUGUAGACGGCUCACUGGACCAUAACUGACGCUGAGACACGAAAGCGUGGGUAGCAAACAGG
rnacentral:rRNA from 1 species